AUGCAGAGGGCAAUCGUGGAGGAGUUAAACCUUGGCCAUUUAAUGCCCAUCAAUGAUCUGUUUAAACUGGCCAGCAACCUCCGCGUGCUAAAACUCUGCAGGUGCAACUUUGAUUUUGCAUCCCCUCCUUUCCGAUGCUGCCACAGCCUAAGAUUCCUUUGGCUUGAUCAUUGCACAAACUCAGGGAAGGAGCAAGGAGGAGGGCUAUGUUUACUGAACCUAUUGGUUCUUGACAUACGCUUCACAGAUUUUGUCUUGUUGGCAGAAAUGAUAGAGAUGAUGACCAAUCUCAUGGAGGUAAAUACCAAGGGUGUCUCAUGGAGGACCAUAAUUAAGUCAUGCAUGGAGAAAGCUGCAGAAUCUUCACAAGCUUCGCGUAACCUAAUCCUCAGACGUGAUCACAGUGGACACUUGUUGUUCCGUUGA
rnacentral:rRNA from 1 species